ACCAUUAUCAAUAUUUUAGUUGACAUUAACCCGAACCGGGUAGUGAAUCAUUAUCUCGGCUAUUCAGAACUAAGCACAAUUAAAUGUGAUCCCAUGAGCUACUUGUUCUAAGCAUGGCUAAGCAUUAACCUAGGCCUGACUCUAAUCAAGUUACCCCUGGUCCAGCAAUGAACAAAGUUGGAUAAACAACGGCAUAAUAAUAAGGUUUACCCGAAAAUAGCAUAAAGUAAGUACUUUAAUUAAAACAAUGCAUAUUUGAAAUAAUAAAGCGGGGAAUUUGCAAUAAUG
rnacentral:lncRNA from 1 species